UACGAAGGGGCUAGCGUUGCUCGGAAUUACUGGGCGUAAAGGGCGCGUAGGCGGAUACUUAAGUUAGAGGUGAAAGCCCAGGGCUCAACCCUGGAAUAGCCUUUAAUACUGGGUAUCUUGAGUUCGGGGAGAGGUGAGUGGAACUCCGAGUGUAGAGGUGAAAUUCGUAGAUAUUCGCAAGAACACCAGUGGCGAAGGCGGCUCACUGGCCCGGUACUGACGCUGAGGUGCGAAAGC
rnacentral:rRNA from 1 species